UUGCUAGUCCUAACGAUGGCUGAGGCCGCACCCCGGCUCGCCUCGCCGGUGCCUCCUCGUAAAGGGCUCGGCUGAGCACAAAGCCAAGUUACACGUGGGCGGUCCGUUUUAUUUUGAAGGCUGCUGGUAGUGCGCCGGUGUUCCGCCUCGUGACGCGUUCCGGUGCUCUGUAGUUAGCGGUAGCUGGUCUGGUCGGCCUGAACCUGGUCCACAACGGAACCCUCCGCGUGGUGUCGACACCGGCAGGUGUAAAGGCGAGCGUGUUUCUGGAGACUGGAAAGUUGAACAAGUUUGUCGAUGACGUAAUCGUAUCUGAAGAGAAGCGGAGGUCAGCUCGAACUACCUGCUGAGCGUCGCUGAGCUUCCGGCUGUAGACCUGUCGACAUGUAGCCGCUUCCCUCCGCUGGCUGUGUAUCCCGAGGUGUGUCUCUGACGUCACGCCAACCAGUGUUUCAGCAUCGCGUUCCUCCGGCAGGAUGACCGCCGCGGCCGGCAGGGCGUGGGCCUGGGUCCGCUCGUGGAGCUCCUGGGGGUGGAGACGGCCCAGUGACCCCGUCAGUCCAGCAGAGGAGUUCUGGGAGGCGCAGGAGAAGCUCCAGCCCGCGGAGGGAGAAGUCCUCCGCGCCGGGGAACAGGAGCCGCAGCGGGCGUCCAGGUGGUGGAAUAAAUAUCUCCCAACUUCUUAUCUUUGGUGGCCAAGAAAGCCGGAAGCCGGUGGACUGAGCAGCCGCCAGGGCGCCAGUGAUGCCGACGGGGAGCUCUCUGACUACGGGACGCCUCCUCCGUCUCCCACGCCGUCCUCCUCUCCUUUCAGAGUCUUCGCUCGCAGCCUGGCGGUGGACGUCCUCCCGGAGCACUACGAGAUCUGCUUCAACCUCCUGCGCCACCUGUUUGAUCUGCUCGUGGUGGGCUUCCUGUGGACGGUGUCCCCCCCCGCCAAGCUGGCCCUGGAGGUGCUGGGGGUCCAGGGCGCGCUGCGGCUGUGGCUCCACGGCAUGGCCAUGUUCUUUGUGUCCACCGUUGGCAUGGCGGGGCUGCUCUGGUUGACCCAGGAGUACCUCCCUCAGUUCGCCCUGGUCUACGGCGUCGUCCAGGCGCUGGUGAUCUCCGUGAGCGUUCGUCAGAGUGUGAUCCUCGGCGUGGACCAGGAGGAAGCAGACGUGGAGGAGAAGGAAGACAUGGACGACAGUGUGGAGGCUAAAGAGCAGCCGGUGAAGACCAGUUAAUGCACGAAACAUGGACACCAGAGAGGAGCCGGUCCCCGUCCCCACUGACGCCUCGUUAGUCCUGGUCUCGUUCCCUCGUUCUCAUCGGUCAGUUCUGAGUGAAGCAGCAGCGCUUGCUUGGACAUUCAACGAGCAUCGGCCCGGUGCCCUGGCGUGUUCCUGUCCUCAGGCCGCUGGUUCUGGUCGGUCCGGCGGCAGUGACCGCCUGUUUCCUGUUGGAGAGGGAUGUCAUGCACUCGGUAGAUGCCGUGUCCAGAGGGACGACACCUCAGGGUGCUCAGGGUCUCACCAAGCAGGCGCUGCUGCUUCACUCAGAACUGACCGAUGAGAACGAGGGAACGAGACCAGGACUAACGAGGCCCCGGAGGCCCUGAGGGCUGUGCGGAUCAUCUGCAACGUGAAGAAUAAUGAACACACUGAGCCGCUUUUUAAGAGAUUGGGCAUUCUGAGAUUUACAGAUCUACAUUUGUGUCAGACAGGAAUUUUUAUGUACAGAUUUAUGAAUAAUAAUCUGCCACAUAAUCUGUUACGUAUGUUCACAAGGAACACAAAUGUCUACGAUCACAACACGCGGCUGCGUGGUGGCAUUCAUAUAAAUAAACAUACAGUCGACAUUGUAUUUAAAAGCUUCAUCUGUAGAGGUCCAAAGCUCUGGAGACAAAUUCCGGACGAGGUCAAAUCGGCAUCCAGCAUCAAGGCAUUUGGUUCUCGCCUUAAACGCCAUCUCACUUCAUUUUGAAAGUUUUUAAUAUUGAUUUACAGCCUGGCAGCACAGUACAAUAGAGGAAAAAUAUUUAAAAUAAAAUGUAUAUCCAUAA